rnacentral:lncRNA from 1 species
UGUUGUUCUUGUCGUUGUUGUUGUUGUUGUUGUUGUUGUUGUUGUUGUUGUUGUUGUUGUGGUUGUUGUUUUCGUUGUUGUCGUUGUUCUCGUCAUUGUCAUUCUUUACAUCAUUGUUGUUGUCGUGUCAUCGUUGUAGUUUUGUUGUUGUUGUUGUUGUUGUUGUUGUUGUUGUUGUCGUUGUUGUUGUCGUUGUUGUAGUUGUGGCUGUCGUCAUCGUCUUCGUGGUCG